rnacentral:lncRNA from 1 species
UCAUACCAGAAUUCCUUUUCCUCCUCUUCUUCAAAGAAUGAGAGAAGAUUCCAGAGACUUUUUCCGAUCUCUUCAUCUGGUGGUGUGCUUUUUGAUUGAUUAGAUCUUGCCGCUGCUGUUACAUUUCUUCCGGCGAGUUCUCCGUCGAAGGGUUUAGUUUAUAGUUGAGCUUAGGUAUGGAAGAUGGGAGCGCAUCAAGACAGAGUUCUUCAACUACCUAUGCCACAAUGGUAAGUUUUUUAUUUUUUAAUAUAUCAUAUAUACUUCAUUUGUUUCACAAAAAGAGAAUGAGAAUUCCAUGAGCACGACCCCGGCGAACUAUGGUUGUUGCCGACCACAAAUUGUGAAGAUAGCGAUGAUCAUGGCUUGAAAAAACAUCGAAUUGAGUGAGUGGAAUUUAAGAUGACCUCAUCAGAUGUUGUGUAAGAGUAAUGGAUUAAGGAAACAAAGUAGCGGGUGUGACAUCCUCCGGGUUCCGUUGAUGAAUUAGUCACUGUUCUUGACGCAAGCCCUAAUUUUGAGUUUUGUUUACGUUUCGUGUUUUAGUAUGUUUUCCUUUAGUUUCUCAUAUGACACUGCGCAUUUUUUAGCAAGUCAGUUAGUUGCCAAUCUGUAGCAGAGCUUUUUAAGGCCAUUUUGUAUUUACACCAUUUUCUCAUGUUUAUCAAUCUACAGGUACUAAGGAGGCAUGCUGUGAAUAUUUAUCUGAUAGCCCUUUUGAAUGGUGGCACAAGGGUGCUUGCUUCUUAUUCAUGUGGGAUGGAAGAGUGAGCAAUCUUUUCCUCAAAUGGUUCACAACAUAUAUAUGAAGGUAGCAAGAAUGGCUUUAUAAAUAUAUGGAUCUACGUGGUGGAGGAUCAUUAGUUGCUUUUCAAAUUUACAAGGAGUGGCAUCAGGUUUUCUCGACACUCCGAUCGGGCAAAUACUGGAGAGGCUGCAAGCACUUGGAAUUUUCUGAACCUAGAACCAUCCAUAUUUAGCCGGCUGUUGCUGAAUUUGUUUAUUAGUCUUUGCAGAUGCUCACGUUUUGCAGAGAUGAUGAUGAUGGGGAGAUGGUUUCAAAGAAAAAGAACCCAUGAAGAGAUUGUGAACUUGGAGAAGAAGCAUUGAGAAGGGCGGGCAAUACUUGAAGUGUAUUUUAGAAGGCGAAUUAUAGUGGUAGUGUUAAAAAAAAAAAGACAGGUUUGGGUUGAAAUACUUUGGCGUAAUCUGUUGGGCAUGAAAGCUGGCUAGACUAUAAUUUUUUUUAUGGAUAUUACAUAACAUUUAUGGAUUUUGUAUAGUAAACUCUUGAAACAGAGUGUUAUUUUC